CCCUUAGAUGUUCUGGGCCGCACGCGCGCUACACUGAUGCAUUCAACGAGUUUCUUCCUGGUCCGAGAGGAAUGGGUAACCUUUUGAAAGUGCAUCGUGAUAGGGAUAGACUAUUGCAAUUAUUGGUCUUCAACGAGGAAUUGCUAGUAGACGUAGUUCAUCAGACUGCAUCGAUUACGUCCCUGCCCUUUGUACACACCGCCCGUCGCUCCUACCGAUUGAAUGCUCAGGUGAGCCAUUCGGACCUUCAUCAUGCCGGUUUCCGGUUUUGAUGAGGGAAAGUCUUGCGAACCUUAUCAUUUAGAGGAAGGAGAAGUCGUAACA
rnacentral:rRNA from 1 species